AAGUGCUUUCCAUUUCAUUUCAUAUUUCCUUUUUUAUUCUUCUAGAAUCUUUUUCCGCUUGGUUUAGUUACUUUUCCUCUUUAUGUUAGCUUUUCUACAUUUGUUUGACACAUGGUGAACGAACAAUGAUUUGUCACUGUGUCUAAUAUUGUUAGUAUAGUUCCAGUACAAAAUGUAUACUGCAUCCUUAUCUGUGUAAUACAUACUUUUACAGGGUAGCAUUUUCUGAAAUAGAAAUUUGCAACAUUUGGCUCUGAUGAAUUAAACAGAAACUCAUAUUAACUACUUCCAUUCGCAGUCCAGCCAGAACCAGAUAGAUGUAAAACACAAAUUCGGAAAUUCCUUUAAAAAAGUGCCAUAGUUGCUGCUUCUUUAUGUAACUAGAAUAGAAGUAGUUGGUAAGCAGUUGGAGAGCAAUUUAGAGACAGGUUCCUUCACACCAGGCGACCUGUGCAAAGAUGUUGUUAUUAAAAACUCAAUGCAAUCGGUGGGCAAUGUCCACCAGUUGCAUGGAGAUUGCCAUACUAUUUUUAGUUUCGUGUGCCCGAGCCAUAACGUGGCAUUACAAUUAGUUUAGAAGCCGUGGAUAAAAAUUCUUGGUGGUCUUUUCCUUCCAUUGUAGUCAAAGUGGAAACUUUUGAGUGUGGGUUUUUAACAGGUAAUUUUGUCAGUGUUUUUUUUUUUUUUUACCUUUUCCCAGCAUGUAGUCACACUUAAAUAGUAAACAGGAGUAUGCAAUGUGAGAAACAGCACAACUCAUUUUCAAAAUGAAGGCCCCUCACUUCACACAGAGGUAGACUUUUAUUUCAGCUGAAUAACUGCUAUUGCCAGCAGAUUGCAUCAACUGUAGCUGGAUAGCCACAGCUACUUUAGCUUCCUGACAUGUACGAAAAUGCUAGAUGUCAUUUUAAUAUUCCAGGCAAAUAUGGGCUAUAUAUGCUAAACGGCUGAAGAUUAAUUCUUUUUUUGGGAUUUCAAGGAGUAUGUUUCAAUUUUAACAUUACAAGGGGAAAAAAAGGUUUUUAGUUUUAGGAUGCAUAUAAAUGUGAUCAAAUCUCAGAGGAAUACUGGUUAGAAUUAGAUACAAAUCCAAGAGUUUCAGAAAACCUAAGUAAACAAAAAACUAACCUCUUAUUAAGUUGUGUGUAGAAGUUGAAGGUAUUUUUUUAAGAUCCAGAAGGAACCAAACUGCAAAGCUAUAAACCUCCAGGAAUUAACAGGCUAGACACUAAGGAGGAGCACAGCGAUGGUACACAGAUACAGUGACAAAGACAAAAGAGAGCCAGGGCUGUAUAUUCUCACAAAGAGACACCAAGGGCCAAUCAAGGGAAGUGAAUACAGCUGUGUAAACCCAGACACAGGUGUACACAAUCAAGACAAUCAACAGAUAGAAAGUAUAAUUCAAAAGAAGGCACAAGAGAGCAAGUAACAAAAAAAUAAAUAAACAGAAAAUUCAGUCCACAUGAUACACAGAACAUUGCAGAUGCUAGAAGGGUAAACCAAUAUACAAAGAAAACACAAGUAAUGAAAGGUAAAUAACAAUCUCUAUAAAUACUAACCAAUAACUAUAAUUUUAAAAACAAAAGAAAAAACCCUCAAAAUACUGGAAUAAUUUAUGUUAACAAACAGGAAUCAAAGCACAACCUUACAUUAGUCAAAAACAAGGAGCAGUAAUGAAGCCCAACCAAUAACAGCAAAUCAUAAACAAACUGAAAUCCUACACUACUGCAGUUUAAAUGAUGUUGCUGAGCUGAGAUUUCCCUCAUCUGAAGCAAGAGGAUGUAGCUGACAUUAAGCUACUCUUUCCACACCUGCUUUCUUUGCCAGAAGUAUUCACUCGUCUGCCUUUACAUGCAUAUGAACUUGAGUGACAUCCCGCUCUUAGUCCAUAGGUUUAAUAUGAUGUCACUCCACCCUUUGUAGAUAUAACACCUUCAUAUCUGGAAAGGCUUUCCACAAGCUUUAGGGGUGUGUUUGUGAGAAUUUUUUAACCAUUAUUCUAGAAGUGCAUUUGUGAGGUCAAACACUGAUGCUGGAUCAGAAGGUAAGGCUCACAGUCUCCACUCUGAUUUGAAUUCGCUGAGCGACCUGAGAGCGACCCACUUUUUCACAAAUAUUUUUAGAACCAGUUUGCUAGCCAUUUCAUUUUAUACACCAGUAGCCAUGAAGGAACAACUGAAUUCAAUUAUUUGAAUAGGUGAAUGAAUACUUUUGGAAAUACAGUAUAGUAUCACAUGCUAGUUAGCCAGUAAAGUUGACUAAUAGCAGCAGUGUUAAAGUUUGUCUUUCUCGUGGCUAAAAAGAACAAGAUUUAUUGCCCAGCUCUGUAUCCCAGAAAUAUUUUUCUUACUAGGAGCCCUCCUGCUUACUGUUUCAACAUGUAGAGAAAUUUCAAGCUACACAGACCUCAAAUGACCAGCGCUAUAGUUGCUAAACUAGGAGUAGCUAAGCUAGGAGCGAUUUUGUGUUUGUUUGUUUUUUCUUUUUUCUUUUGUUUCUUUUUUUAAUGGUCAUUUAUUUUAAGUUACUUACUUCCGCUCUUUCUCUCUCACAGAAACAUAACUCCAUACUGGUAUUAGUGCUAUAAGCCUGGCUGUCUGUGACUGUGUUUGAUCCAGAUAGCUGCAUUUAAUAACAGUCAUUUAGCCUUUAUUCUUUUACCAUACGUUGGCAUGUCAACAGAAGAUUUUUUUUAGUACGCUAUUCAAUUGAUAAUUAAAGGGUUGUUUUGACAGAUGCAAUUGGCUGAACAAAAAGCUUAGAAGGCCUUGUCUCAUAUUGUUUUGGGGUGUGUGUCUGCCUCUUUAUAUGAUAGACAAUUUAUAUAAAGAAGACUAAAGGGAAAGAUAAAUCAUAGAUUGCUGAUCUGAAUUAGGCAUGUCCAUUAUGUCAGGUCUUUCUUUUACCUUCUUUCAUCUGUUUUUGUUACAUUUUUUUUCCCUCCAUUGUGAGAUCCAAAUGAUCGUCUCCCAGUCUUUUGUUAUGACAGGACAAAAUUAGUUUGGCUACACUGAGAGUCCUCAGGAACUUUGGCCAAGGUUUCAAUCUCCCAGACCUCCUAUUAGAGACAGGAGCUGCAGGGUCACAGGAGGAGUAUUUGUCACUUUGAUCCUCUGGCACUUAGGUCGCUCUUCUCUUUGAUAGUGUCUAUUUCUCUCUAUCUCUUUCUGCGUUCUAAUCAUACCUUGGCUGCACUUGAUUUUUUUUAUAGCCUUUAGUUCUCUCUGUGUCCAUUUUCUUUUCCACAUUCUUCAUCUUUCUCAUUUUCAAACCCCACUCUCUCAUCCUCCUUUCCAGCUUGACUCCCCCCCCACACACACACACACACAGUGCGUGCCAUAAAUCCCCUUCCUGGGGAAACAGGUAGAACAGAGAGACAGAAGCAGCUAGUUCCCUCCAGCCAUUUGUUUUUCUCAGCAGGGCUGGGGUUUUGCCUUCUAUUGCUCAUGCUCCCUCCCUCUUCCUACUUCCACUCCCUUUCAUCCUCUAUCCCUCCUUCCCUCCCUCGCCCUCUAUUGCUCCAUUCCUCCCGCCCAGUGCUCCAGAUUCCCACCAUCUGGACUCAGUGGUUGCCAAAGGUAUGGAGGCUCUUUUAGUAACUCCCUGAGUACAGGAGUAUGGUGCAGAAAAUCCACUUUGGUUCAUUGCAUCAUCUAUGAAACCUGCCAUGCCUCAGUCUCCUAAUUCCAGCUCUCGAUAGUUAAAAUUUUUAAUUUUAUUCUAAAACUAAAAUGCCAUGAAAUCAGGCAAUACCCUGCAGUAGAAGAAGUGCAUAUCAUCUCCUGUCUGCGACUUGUAAGACUGUUUCUCGACAAGACUUGCAAAAUAUUGGUGUAGCUCAUGUAAUUAGAUGGCACCUUGGUUUAAACUCACUUUACCAAGACAGGUAGACAAGCCAGUAGACGUUCUCCCAUCGCUCUAUGUCUGACGUCUUCUCAGGCUGUGUUAGCAUGUGAAAAGUAUGAGUUGAGAGUUUUGGCCCACAGUCCUUGGAUUUCGGAUUCAGUCAACAUGUGAGCAGCAUACAUGUUACCAUGCCGACAGACACAUGCAAACACACCAUAGUUAGGCAGCAGGCCAUUAUUAGCCCAUAAAUUCUGUCGCCUGGAAAAGUGUAUUGUGCCAAAGGAGAGUGUGUGUGCAUAUGCAUGGAUGCCCAUGUGCCAAGCCAUGGGGACAUCUGUGGGAACAGUGAGUUGGCUCUAAUGGCCAAGUUGGCCAUUAAAUUGUGCCUGGGGAGAGACCCCUCAGAGGAAUGUAAUGUGUACCACUGAGCUUUGGCUCGGGCUCUCUGUCGUGGGAACCCUGAGUUGUUAGCAAAUGCUCAAAUCACGCUCCUCAGAAUAGAUAGCAAGUAAAUGUUCACUGAUCAUAGAGUUUCGAGUAAAGAUGCACAUGGCUCCUGUGACAUUACUGUUGGUGUGGAAAGUCCUGCUGUAAAUUCUCAAACAGAGAAUUUCUCCGCCAUAAGCAUUGCAUCAACUCGACUUGACAAGCCGGAUCUGAUACUCAGAUCAAGGGAUGCUGCAUACUUACGUAUACUUAUAGACCUUGUUUUUUCUAACAUAGGCUGACCAUAAUGAACAAAAUAAGCAUUGCUCUGUAUUCAUUAAGGUGUGAAACUAGCAUUCCAUCAUGAUCUGUUUUCCUGCGUAAUUACAACUGGACUUCUUUUUGCAACCACAGGAGUCUCCCCCUACUGGCCAGUAAAAGGAAUGUAGGUUUAAGACUCGUUUGUAUUAGCUUAACUUUUCAGGCAUAAAGGUGUGCCCAUCUUUAAUGUGAUCUGUGACAGUAUCUGAGUGAAACACUGACAAGCUUGGUAUUUAGAAAAAUAUUAUAGCAGUUAAUUCACUUAUUCUAUUGUAGAGUUUACAAAGACAGAACAAUGGUCAAUGUUUUGUUUAUAAUAGUUUUAACGAAUGGUAAACUACAGUUUCUACAUAUCCUUCAGUAGUGCCCAGAUUGUGCAUUUCUUUCAAAGGCCAUGCCUCCAGUUUGUAUUAGCAUAUUUUUAAGACUCAGUCUAGAAAAAAAGGUUAACCUGAUGAUUAUCAUUGAUCAUUAUUUGAGCCUUUUUAGUUAUGGGGGAAGAGCAGGGUGCUGCAGCAUUAAGAAAGAAAUCUGGGAUAUUUUUAAAGCCUAUAGUGCUUUUAAAGGAGGGCAAUUGAGGUCUGCUACUUGUCUUCAGGAUUUAAGAUACAUAGAAAGUUUUAUUUAGUCAAGGGAAAAUCUAUCAAGAGUAGCAUUUAUUUAUUAUAGUCAUAUGAUAUGUAAUAUAUGAUGAUAAUGAAUCUUUUUACCUAAAAUCUUCCAAUGCUUCCUUCAGAGCCAUACAAAACUUUAUACAGCUAAUUUCACAGGCAUGACUGAUCUAAUCUUUAAGUGUAAAAUGACUGGAGAGUUCCAACAUAUGUCCAAUCUCUGCACAGGCAACAAAGUCUGCAUAAAAUUGCCCAGCACGUGUCUUUUCUCUCCAUUGACCAGUACAAACAAUGCAAACUGCAGUACUAUAAUUUUGUUGGAUUUCCGAAAUUUACAAAGAAAAAACAAGCAGUGUUUCUCAUUUCUCUGCCGCCUUCCUGCUUAAGCCCCAUUUCUGGCAGCCAGUUGUAAAUUAGAAGAGAGGAACAAUUAAAUUCUCAGGGACAAUGUUCAGAUAGACAUUGUCUGCAUUGUGUGAGUGUGCCUGUGAAAUGAAUUCAGAUUCCACAUAAUGCUGUGCUUGUAUGGUUCCAGUAUCCUUUUUUUCAGUCAUUCAGUCAUUGUUCCUAAUGCUGCAGAAACUGUGUGCCAAUAGUGCAAAAGUUAGCUGCAGUGCGAUUUGCUGUCAUAAGAAAAUGUUUUUCCUUUUAUUGUGAAACACUUACUCUCACAUUUUUUGUCUCUUUUGGAGUGCAUUUUCUGCAUUCAGGCUAUUUUCAUAUUUUAUUUUUUUGAUCUAUCAUCUGUUUUCAGUAAUGUUUAUUUCAUUUUUAUUUAUUCAGCUUUUCUUUUUGAGAUGUGUCUUAAACAGGCCCCUUGGGCCUCCUGCUAAGUUACUAUCUGGUGCUUUUGUGUGAUAUUUCUGUCUCUUUUAUUUUUUAUGUUUUUAAAUAAAAGCAAAAGCUAAAUUGACUUUGCUUUCAAACCUGCACUCUUCUCUGAGUCAGGGAUUUAUAAACCUUAUCAUCUUUGGUCUCCAGCACAGAUUUGUGCCUUACCUUUGGUGGUUUUAAGUAAGUCGUCUGCCUGCCUUUUAAAGUCUGUGCCCAGUUCACCUGGCUUGAACUGCAACCCUGCAGUACAUGGAGAAUGAGUCUGAAUAGUUCAUGCAGCUCAAGGAGACAUGCUGACACUGAUGGAUCCUGUUGGUCAUAAUGCCUAACAGUAUAUAGUCAGAGUGAAAAGCAUCUGAAUAAUGUUAUCUGUGAUCAGACUGAAAGUCUGUCAGGCUUGAAGGACAGAUGCAGUCUGUUCGGGUCUUUUUUUUCUGCUUUCUUUAUUUUGUAUUUUCUGGCCUAUUUUUGUAGUUCUGCUUCUUUUAUAUCAGCACAAUAUCUCAACAUUAGUCACUCUAGAGCAGCCUUCAGUUUACACGGACCAAGAAGGAUGAAAUCGGAAGUCACUGGGCUUUUUAAUAUCAGCAACGAUUAAAACGUUUAUCCUUUUUUGUACUGAACUGAUUAGUCGAGGAGGAAGGAAGACUGUAAAUGUAGAAGUGACUCAUUGCGAGUUCUGUGCUGUUUCCCUUAAGGAAAAAAAGACACAUAGAGAUUUAUUUUGCGUUCCCAUAAGGGGCACCACGUGAUUACCGCCGCCCUAUAAUACCUUUGUCUGUUAGCAGUUCCUGCUUUGGUGUUAUUUGUUUGUCUCGGCCAGCUGUGCAUCCAUAUGUAGGCCUACUUCCUGCCAAAUAAAAAGAAAAGCAAAAAAAAACCCAGAAUCAUAUAGGAAUUGCUUAGCAUAUAACUGCACUCCUAAAGAUGAAAACAUGUUCAUAAACCCUUAAAAAGUAAAAAGGAAGUCUGCAAACAAGGUCAACUUCUUGCCUGAAGGCUUUCACUGAGCUGUAUGAAUCAUUGCAUUGGUUAUGCUGUUAUAAACAGGAUUUUAAAAAAUCAAUUAAGCCCUCUGUACUUUAUGUUUGAUGUCUCCCACCCAGGGUUAUCUGUUUCAGGCUGCAUAAGUGGGUUAGGUAAUGUGCUUCACCACACAUAACAUAUUAUUAGGAGCAAAGGCCAUGUUGCUUCAUUACACUGUAUAUUUGAAUAAAAGGCAAUAAUUUGCCGUGCGAGUCUGUGAUAUUUGUCUGUAAGAAAUGUACUUUGAGAAAAAAAAAUGUUCCCCAAAAUAAGAUUAAUGAAUGCGGCGCAUUAGUAUAAAGACUUCCGUGUCAAACUUCUAAGAAAAGUAUGAAAAGAGUCUUUUCAUGUUUUGUUUUUUUGUUUUGUUUUGGGGCUUUUUCUGAAACAGGGUCUGUGUGGAAAUCUUUAAGCUAAUUUACUGAUCCAGACAACAAUGUGAGUGAGUUUAAUUAACAUUCCCUGCCUGCUCUCUACUGCAAAUUGCAGCCUUUUUCUUUUUCCUUAUCGGCUUUACUGUACUGUAUAUGCUGCAUGACUAAGUCUGACAUUAUCUGCCAGGCGGGUUUAUGUAACAUUAGCUGUACAAUAUGCUGUAAACACAGCUGGCUCUAUACGGCAAAACAGUGCCAAGCAAAGUGCAGACGGUAAUUAUCCUUGUUUUUUUUUUUAUUUAAUUAUUUAUUUUAGUUGGGAAAUGUGUUUUGCUGGUUUCAUUAGUAUCUCA